AGCUUGGUAUCACCAAAGACAAGAGACAGUACUCUGGAUUUGGUGACUGUUCUCGUUCAUUUCCCUGGCCAUUGCCAAUAUUUAGCAAACAGAAUUGGCUUUGCCAUAGUGACCAGGAAAUCAGUGCCUGUGCACGUCCAUUUUAGGCUGCUGUGUCUAUACCUGAGCAUGCAUGUGCCAAAAGAUGCCAUUGGUCCUUGCAACCUGCAGCAUUUCCUGGAACAGCUACAGGAAAGAAUCCUAGGAGAGGCCUCUGAGUAAAUAGCCUCUUUGGAGGAAAAAGGCUACAUGAAUGCACAAAAUUUCCAGAUGAUAAAUAACCCAGAGACUGUGCUCACAAGCUCACUUUACCAAGGGUAAUGAGGAAAUACUUCCUAAUUUUCAUCCUAGGAGUGACUUGGAUCCAGAGCUCUUGCGAAACGAAGGAGUCAGCUAUGAGAGCCAACCAUGCAAAUGCACCUUGAUGGCUGCACUCACUCGAAAGUUGUGUGCCAGGUACUGAGAAUGGGGUGAUCACACCUCUUUACAGUAUUCAGAAAAGCCGCCCCUCUCCAAAGUUAAAGCUGCUAAACUGGAUCUUGGAGGACGAGGAGGAACAAGCUUUCUGUUCCCUUCUCAGGCAGGGGCAGAGCCUUCUCAACACCGUCAAGCCAAAAGCACUUGAUGAGUUUCAUAAUCAGAUGACUCAAGGUCAUGUUAGUGCCCAGAUUCUCUGCAUCACAGCUGUUUUGCUUAGAGAUGCACCUGGAAGCAGCUCAGUGGGGCAAUAAUCCAGCAGUGGAACCAGAACUGGGCUGGAAGCAGAUGGCUGCGGUGGUAAUCCCAACUUAGCUUCUAACUCCCUCUGCAUUCCCAGGCCAGUUACUGUCCCUCUCUGGGACUCUCUUUUCUCACCUAUGAGGUGAAGUUGGCCUACACGAUCAAGGUGAGCUUUGCAGGUUCUGUUUUCUUCUUUUUUUUCUUGAGUUUACCAUAAGAUCUAUUUCCUCUAUAGUAAAUAUACUAUUACUCAUUGUAAGUUUUCUUGAGAGAAGCCUGGGAAGGCAGAAGAGUUUCUUCCUUUGAAAGUUAAUGUUAUUUUGUUUUGUUUGCCAAAGGAAGUGAGAGGUUAGUGGCUCAGACUAAGUUCUGCUUUGCGUCUGCGAGGAACCAUUGGACACUGCGUGUAAGCAACAAGGAAUCAUUCUGGGGGAUUUUAUUUUACCCUCAUUCCUGCCUUCGUCGACAAAAG
rnacentral:lncRNA from 1 species